rnacentral:piRNA from 1 species
UACAAUUCAUUUUUUGUUGUC